GAUGAACGCUGGCGGCGUGCCUAAUACAUGCAAGUCGAGCGGUAACACUUCGGGUGACGAGCGGCGGACGGCAGAGUAACGCGUAGGAACAUACCCCAAACUGAGGGAUAAGCACCGGAAACGGUGUCUAAUACCGCAUAUUAUCUUUGGAUCAAAGCUUCGGCGGUUUGGGAGUGGCCUGCGUAUGAUUAGCUUGUUGGUGAGGUAAUGGCUCACCAAGGCGACGAUCAUUAGCUGGUCUGAGAGGAUGAUCAUCCUGACUGGGACUGA
rnacentral:rRNA from 1 species